AUAUCAGGUGACAUAAGUUGUAAGAUGGAGAGUAAAUUUACCAGUAAAUUUAUCAGAGAGCUUAAAAAAAUUUUUUUUGUAAUGUUCUCACCAGUCGUUAUUAUCUGUUAGAGCCCCUUGUUUGGAAGAACAAGUACAAUAAAGCACAAUAAAAAAUAAUAUGAUAUUAAAGCAACAAGGUCCUUCAGUGAUGAAACUAAUCAUGUGUAAGUUGAAGCAGAACUACAUGAAACAGCCCUCCCCAAUCCCCUAGGAUGGCUGAGGUCUACAGCAUGGAUGCAGAAGAGAGGCAUGAGACAUAGAUGGGGCAGGAGAGUCUGAUUUCACCUUGUCCUGACCUUCACCAAAGGUUGGAGCUGUCCUAGGCAACUUGCUCAUGACCGAUAGACACAGACUCCCAGAGUGGCAGGGCUGAGAUAGCCCACAGGAGCAAACUCCUUGACUGACACAUGAAUGAGGAGACCAAGCCCAGAGAGGCCAGUGAUCGGAUCAGAGGGAAAUAUGUUCUGAAGAUUUAUCUCGGAGCUUCUCAGAACUCACAUGAGGUUCUGAAAAUGAGCCAAGUAUUGUUAUAAAUAUGGAAAAAUCUAAAGAAAAGGAAUGUUCCUGCAAAUACCUUUUAUUUUUCUCUUCCUGAGCAAAGAAAGUCCACAAGCAACCAGCUUUUCCUGAUUUCCCAGCAUCCAGUGCACCACAUUCUGAUGUUCAGUCUCCAGCGUCCUAAAGGUCGUGACACAGCACAAGCAGUAACAGAGUCCAGGGGCUGCGAGACCCUUCCUCUUCUUCCACCUGCCUUCAGCCCUCUGGGUAAGAGAAGAGGAAAAGGAAGGGGAUGAAAUCAGAAAUACAUUCAUGUACCCAUGUGUCUGCAACUUGGACAAGGAAACCUUGUGAGGACUCUGGAAAUGAUCACCUAAAUAACGUGUGGGAGGUUGUUCAUGGAUUUCAAUUUGCCAAGAGGUCUGGUUGUACAGAAUCAAGGUAUUACAGUGGCUGCUGGUGCUUGGAAGCCUUGGGAGGCCUGUAAACUUUGUUUCAGGAAUAUAGAGCCUGUCCUUCUCAGGCUCACAGACUUCUCAGAGGCCUUCAUGUUGUCAAAGCACUGUGGUGGGAGCAUCUUGAAACUGCUGUGUCUCCAGGUCCCUAGGACCUAAUGGGAUAAAGAUCAAAGCUGAUGGUUAGACAUACCCAAGAGAACAGCUAAAAUUAAAAGAUUGACAAUACCAAAUGUUGGUGAGGAUGGGGGAAAACUGGAACCCUCAUACGUUACUGGUGGGAAUGUGGAAUGCUGGAACCCAUCGGGAAGCCAGUCUGGCAGUAUGCAAAGUUCAUCAGACAUUUACCAUUUGCCCCAGUGAUUCUUCUCCUUAGGUAUUUACCAAA